UAAGGAAUAUUGGUCAAUGGACGCAAGUCUGAACCAGCCAUGCCGCGUGAAGGAUGAAGGUCCUCUGGAUUGUAAACUUCUUUUAUCUGGGACGAAAACGGGAUUUUUAUCUCAAUUGACGGUACCAGAGGAAUAAGCACCGACUAACUCCGUGCCAGCAGCCGCGGUAAUACGGAGGGUGCGAGCGUUAUCCGGAUUCACUGGGUUUAAAGGGUGCGUAGGUGGGCAGAUAAGUCAGUGGUGAAAUCUUCCGGCUUAACCGGGAAACUGCCGUUGAUACUAUUUGUCUUGAAUAUUGCGGAGGUAAGCGGAAUAUGUCAUGUAGCGGUGAAAUGCUUAGAUAUGACAUAGAACACCUAUUGCGAAGGCAGCUUACUACACAAUCAUUGACACUGAGGCACGAAAGCGUGGGUAGCGAACA
rnacentral:rRNA from 1 species